UACGUAGGGCGCAAGCGUUGUCCGGAAUUAUUGGGCGUAAAGAGCUCGUAGGCGGCUUGUCACGUCGGUUGUGAAAGCCCGGGGCUUAACCCCGGGUCUGCAGUCGAUACGGGCAGGCUAGAGUGUGGUAGGGGAGAUCGGAAUUCCUGGUGUAGCGGUGAAAUGCGCAGAUAUCAGGAGGAACACCGGUGGCGAAGGCGGAUCUCUGGGCCAUUACUGACGCUGAGGAGCGAAAGCGUGGGGAGCGAACGGG
rnacentral:rRNA from 1 species